rnacentral:rRNA from 1 species
GUGUCAGCCGCCGCGGUAAGACAGAGGGUGCAAACGUUGUUCGGAAUCACUGGGCAUAAAGCGCACGUAGGCGGUCCGAAAAGUCAGGUGUGAAAUCCCCCGGCUCAACCGGGGAACUGCGCCUGAUACUGCCGGGCUCGAGAUUGGUAGGGGUGGAUGGAACUCCAGGUGGAGCGGUGAAAUGCGUAGAUAUCUGGAGGAACACCGGAGGCGAAAGCGGUCCACUGGGCCAAUUCUGACGCUAAGGUGCGAAAGCUAGGGUAGCAAACGGGAUUAGAUACCCUUGUAGUCC